rnacentral:rRNA from 1 species
ACACGACUCUCGGCAACGGAUAUCUAGGCUCUCGCAUCGAUGAAGAACGUAGCAAACUGCGAUACUUGGUGUGAAUUGCAGAAUCCCGUGAACCAUUGAGUCUUUGAACGCAAGUUGCGCCCGAAGCCAUUAGGCCGAGGGCACGUCUGCCUGGGCGUCACGC